GAUAGAUGUAGCCGCAGCUGCGCGUCUGUUAAUACCAGCACUCGACCCUCAACGUCCCCGCGCGCGCAAUUCUCCACACACAGUCACACUCGCGAACACACUGAGCUGCUCUCCUCAGCCAAAGCAUGAAGAUGCAAGUGGGGAUUUAGUUUCAGUGUCUUUUCCAGUCUAAAGCAGAUUAUUACCUUUCCUCAAGCACGCAGGACGGAUUUAAACACGAGAAACAAGCUUUGAGGUCCCCCUUCUCUACACGGAAUAUGAUGCAGAAUUCCCCAAUUCUUAGGGAAAUAAGUUGGAUAAGAAAACUCUCAGAUUUGUUGGCUGAUCAUCAAUGAACUCAGUUCCUUAAAGAACACAAGGAAAUACAUAAUUCAGUGAGGAAGUACUGAUAGUUGGGAGAUUUCAUUUUUGGAUAUGGCAGCAACUGAAGCUAAUGCAGAGCCUGUCCAAGCAGAUGUUGCUGAGACCAAACCUGAGGUAGAAACCACAAAUGCAGAGCCAGCCCCAGCUUCAGCUGAUGAAAUACAGCCUACCGCUGAGGAAACCCCAAGCACAGAGCCACCAGCUGAUAGCAAAUCCAAGCCAGCUUCUGAAAAAAUAUGGGACUCUUUUUUAAACAAAAGUGGGCUUGGAAAAGUAAUGGGAGGGAAGAAGAAGAAGGAGCAGCAUCUGGGAGCUGAGGAUACUACUGGCGAGGAUCAGGAUAAGGCCGCAAAUCAGAACGAUCAAGGGGAUACUGCAAGUCCUACAGACCAGGCAUCUAGUCAGCCAGCAGAAGCUGGCGAGGCUGCAGUUGAUGGCCAGAAUAUUGAAAAAGCAACAGAAAAUGAAGAGGCUUCCCAAGAGCAAAAGGAAUCUGGUGCCAAGCCAAAGCAAGGAGAGAAGUCUAGUGUUAGGGACUUCAUCCGCAAUCCUGUCGCUAAAAUUUUCUCACACAAAAGCACAGAGAAAAAGGUUAGGUCAAAAUCUCUAGACAGGCUGGAGGAUGCUGAUACCAGCACAGUUGUGGCAGAACAAACGGAUGAUCCUCAGACUGUAGACGAGCCAGACAAGCCUAACACUGAAAAAGCAAAACACAUGAAACGGUGGCAUUCUUUCAAAAAACUUAUGGCUCAAAAGAGUCACAAAAAAAGCACAGAUGAUUCCAAGGAUGCUGAAGGAGCAGAGGGAACUAGUGCCGAUGGAGCAGGAGAUUCUGGGACAUUGGAUUCCACCACAAAGUCAGAGCACACUGGGCAAAAAAAGUGGAAACUAAAGAGAUCAUGGACAUUUCAAGGUCUGAAGAGAGACUCAUCAGUUGUAGGAAUCCACAAACCAAAGGAUAAAGACUCUUCGGAUCUAAAAGAUGAAAAUGCCCCUGAGGCAGAACAGGGGACAGAAGAUGUCAAGGCAGCCAGUGAUGUAGAAACACAGGAGAAGACUAAUGCUGAGGGUGAGGAGGAGAAAGGAGCAAGUGCUUCCACACAGCAUGCAAAAUCUGUGGACCAGCAUGCAAAUGAGAUCUGGACCUCUUUCAAAAAACGAGUUAUUCCCAAAUCGAAGAGGGCAGCAGACAGUUGUGGAGCAGAGGAGGAACCAGUGGGUGAGCAAGAGCAGAUUGAUGAUCCACAGGCGGGUAAAGACUCAGUCAAGACAGCCAAGGCAAAAAGGACACACUUUGACCGUGCUAUGUCACUAAAGAACUUCAUACUGCGAAAGGGUAAGAGUACCAGCGUAGACAUGGAGGGUACAACAGCUCAGAAAGAGGGCGAUGGUACUGGUGAGAGCGAGGCUAAAGACAUGGACGGCCUUGACGAUACAGUUGGGGCAACUGAUUUGCCACAGACUGGAUCAGAGGAGCAGACUGUAUCUCAGAGUGAGAGCAAUAACGAAGCUCAGGUGGCAGGCGAGCACAAGAGUUCUGAUGGAGAGGAGAAGUCCCACACUAGCACACCAUCUGUUCAGCCAUUAGACAAGUCUCAUGCAGUCGAACCAGUGUCAGGUGGAUGCGAGACAGAGCCCAAAGCCAAUGGUGAGAAUGGAUGCUCGGAUGCUAUAUCAGAGGACACCACAGCACACAAUCAUGAGGCGACCACCCAAAAUGAUGUGAAGGAUGAGGAGACCAACCAGGAGAACAUAGACUCUAGUGGCAAAACUUGUCCAAAGGAAGGGAUGAUCCUCAAUCAAGACGGGAAGUGCGAUACUGUCAAUGCAGUUGCCCAAAGCGGUGAGUUUGCAGCCCCAAUUGACUCGAGAGAUCUCCAGCAAAAUGGAAAUGACAAAGCAGAUUGUAAAAUAGGACUAGGUACUAGUGUUGAGUUAGAGACUGGGGGGGGUGGGGCCCCUCUUUGUGGAAGGUCCCUUUCUGGGUCAGCAAAUACCACUACAGAUGACCAAGAGGAGGCCUUGAAGAGGAUGUUCUAUGAGGUUGCAUCUUCCAUCGUUCGUGCAGCUGUGUCCUCAGCCACUGAACAGUUAGCCAAGGAGAAGGACCUCCUGGACAGUAGUCUGAAAUGUUUUCAACCUGAAAACUAUAGCAGUUACUCAGAUAUUGAUGCCAGUUACUGCCAUAGACAAGUCACUUUGAAUCAGGGAAAUCUGUAUUGAUUCUUGAUGAUCCUGAGCACCUUCAUCUGUGGGAACAUGUUCUAGUGUUGUAGACACGUCAAAAGCCAUUGAAAAAAAGGCGGGAAACUUGUGAUGCCACACAGAGGAUUAGAUCUGCAUGGGAUUCGUUCAGCGAGGAGCUUUGCCCCCCUCCCCCAAAAAUAUGGAGUAAUCACAUGUUUACACCACGAUUCACCAUGGUGAGAGAUGCAAUCCACAUAGUUAAAAAAAAUCUCGAAAAGCAAUAAUUCUGAAUCAUCAAUCAAUGCAGUUCUUGCUACCAUUCCAUCAUUGUAAAUGUUUUGCCUGUCUACUAGUGAGAUUUUAUAUUGUCAUAAACAACAUUCCUUUGAAAUGUUAAUCUUCUUGAUCACAAAGUACUGUGAUCAUAAAGACUGUUAGUUUUAUAUUAAUUGCCAUUCUGUUUGUAGUUUCCCUUUGAAUUGAAAUAUCUAUGUAAUACAGACACAUUUGAAAUAACUGCCCGCCAGUCUGCCCCCCAAAUUGUGAAUUCAAUACGGAAUGUGCUCUAAUCUCUGUGUUUUUGUUUUUAGACUGUUUUCUUGUGAAUAUGAAUAAACCUCCAUUAAACAUCAA